rnacentral:ncRNA from 2 species
CCUGCCGUCCCAUCGGCAGUACCCUACGAGGUAUGGCGGUCCGGCAACGGCCCGUCUAAAAGCCCUCGGACAAUGCAACCUCCGUCGCAAGACGGGUGCCGGACUCGCGAGAGGACGGCAUGCCUGCCAGCAUCAAGGCGGGUCGGAGC